GUUUUUUCCGGUGUCCUGGAACGCACCCUGUCUGAUUGCCGGGCGACGUAGCUAGUUGGAAAAUCUCUGAGUACCCGCAUCUGUAUCCCAUCAGAUAUCUGCACACCUGGUCCUGAUCAUCACCCCUCCACUUCAUAAGCGCUGACCUGACAUCCAUUCCCUGCCGGAUCGUUAUCCAUGAACAUAAUUCACCCGGAACACUCACCCCAUUCCUGCCUGGUCGUCGGUGGCGUCUGUUACUCCCUUGGAUCUGCCUAUUCAUUCCCAUCAACUCACCUCCGCUGCCCGCUCCGCCACCUGGAUCUUUCUACCUCUACAUUUAAACUUGUAAAUAAAUACUCACCUUCGACCUAC